GAUGAACGCUAGCGGCAGGCCUAAUUCAUGCAAGUCGAACGGUGUCUUCGGACAUAGUGGCGCACGGGUGCGUAACACGUAUGCAACCUACCUUACAUUGGGGGAUAGCCUUUCGAAAGGGAGAUUAAUACCGCAUAAGACAGUAGCUGGGCAUCCAGCAGCUGUUAAAGAUUUAUCGAUGUAAGCUGGGCAUGCGUCCAAUUAGCUAGUUGGUGAGGUAACGGCUCACCAAGGCAAUGAUUGGUAGGGGAACUGAGAGGUCAAUCCCCCACACUGGCACUGAGAUACGGGCCAGACUCCUACGGGAGGCAGCAGUAGGGAAUAUUGGGCAAUGGACGCAAGUCUGACCCAGCCAUGCCGCGUGCAGGGUGAAGGCGUUAUGCGUUGUAAACUGCUUUUAUACAGGAAGAAACGACUCUUGCGAGAGGCAUUGACGGUACUGUAUGAAUAAGCACCGGCUAACUCCGUGCCAGCCGCCGCCGUAAUAC
rnacentral:rRNA from 1 species